UACGGAGGGGGCUAGCGUUGUUCGGAAUUACUGGGCGUAAAGCGCACGUAGGCGGCUUUGUAAGUUAGAGGUGAAAGCCCAGGGCUUAACCCUGGAAUUGCCUUUAAGACUGCAUCGCUAGAAUUGUGGAGAGGUAAGUGGAAUUCCGAGUGUAGAGGUGAAAUUCGUAGAUAUUCGGAAGAACACCAGUGGCGAAGGCGGGUCUCUGGGCCGAUACUGACGCUGAGGAGCGAAAGCGUGGGGAGCGAACAGG
rnacentral:rRNA from 1 species